rnacentral:misc_RNA from 1 species
AGGAUUUUUUUUUUUUUUUUUAAAGUCCUAUAAAAGAGCUAUCAUGCAGCAAUUUACCUUCUCAGGGCUGCAAUGAAACUGAUGGCCUAUCUUCUGGCUUCUCAAUAAGUUUACAUCUUGAAGGUGGACCAAACACGCUCAAAAUUACCUGCAAAUGGUUACGCCAAGGUGUAUUAGAGAUGACUUGCUUUUCAAAUCCCUGUUCAUAAAGGCACACAACACAUAUAAUGACCAAAGAGGAGAGAACUCUGGUUAAGCACCAUUUUCUGUUGGUUAAAUAUGAGAGAAAUUUACUGAUCCCUCUUUUCGUUCAACCCUCAUUCAAAUAACCAUUGUCAAUAGAUUACCAAAUAUGGAUGCUUACACUCUUUCUGUUGGUAAAAUAUAACUUGCGGGUUUCUAAAGUACUUGGUGAUUAACGCCCACGAAAAAACAUAAGCUAAAUGCAAAUGCAGAAGGAUUGAAAGAAGAUUAAUGAACUUACAGGCAAGAAUACAAGCCCAUGCAAGAAACCAAGAAGAACCAACGCCAGGUACAUUUGGAAGUAAUAAACCUGCAGAAAAUGCGAAGUGAAGAUUUUAAAUAUUCUGAAGAAUUAUUGGGUUGGCAUGUUCGAUUAAUAACUAAGUGUAAGAACAGAGACCACAAAAACUUCCGUCCUAGAGAAGCACAGAACAAGUACACCGACUAGCUUUGUUAGUGUGAUUCCACUGAAGACUGAAGCCCCCAUUGUACCUAGAGCCUCCUCCACUCUUUGGUCUUUAUCUCCGCUACUUACCUGUAUACAAAUCCUGUAAGAAUAUGCAGCUAAAGCAACAAAUCAACUGAAACUUUAAACCAGAAAAUAUUAAUUUUCUACACUCAGAAACAAAAGAAUUCUUUAAGAAGAUUAUUGUGAAUUAUCAAGUCUUGAACAAGCAUUCUUUCUAUACUUUAAAAUCAUAAUGCAUUGUUUAAAAUAUCAAGAUGUUGGAUGUAAGAGAAAGAGAGAGAUGCCAUCUACAUUUUAACUGAACCAAACAAUAUAAUAAUACAAGUUUCAACUAAAGGAAACAUGUAAUUAGCAUGAAUUUCCAUCAGAAGGUCACAGGCGAUUGCCUCACAAAGGUGGACAGGGGAAAAAACGUAGAAUCAAAUGAUGCUUACUGAGAAAGCAAAUGUUAUAUGUACACAGAACUCAACAGCAAUGCCCACUGACAUGACAAGGUUAACAACAGAGACUGCAUUCAGUUGAAUAUCCAGAAUUGCCAUCACACCCAUAAGAUCCACGACAAUCAUCGCCAAAACCAGCAAAAUUAUUGCUGAGCUCCAUAAACUACAUUUAAACAAACAAAAGGAACAAAAUAAAUACUGGUUCUUUCCACCCUUUUUGGAUGCUAUAGUUCAUUUGCUGAACCACUACAGCCCUGCUUGGCAUUGAGUUUCAGAGUCUGAAACUGCUUUUCUGAAUAAAACCACCAUUUUAGAUACUGUUGAGAAAAGUAGUUUGGAAAAAACUGUUUUGUUA